UACGGGGGGUGCGAGCGUUGUCCGGAAUCACUGGGCGUAAAGGGCGCGUAGGUGGUUUGAUAAGGGUGUGGUGAAAGCCCGGGGCUCAACCCCGGGUCUGCCGUGCCGACUGUCAAACUCGAGGGCUGUAGAGGCAGACGGAAUUCCGGGUGUAGCGGUGGAAUGCGUAGAGAUCCGGAGGAAGACCGGUGGCGAAGGCGGUCCCCUGGGCCUGUACUGACGCUCAUGCACGAAAGCGUGGGGAGCAAACAGG
rnacentral:rRNA from 1 species